rnacentral:rRNA from 1 species
CCUACGGGAGGCAGCAGUGAGGAAUAUUGGUCAAUGGACGAGAGUCUGAACCAGCCAAGUAGCGUGAAGGAUGACUGCCCUAUGAGUUGUAAACUUCUUUUAUAAGGGAAUAAAACGAGGCACGUGUGCCUUUUUGCAUGUACUUUAUGAAUAAGGAUCGGCUAACUCCGUGCCAGCAGCCGCGGUAAUACGGAGGAUCCGAGCGUUAUCCGGAUUUAUUGGGUUUAAAGGGAGCGUAGAUGGGUUGUUAAGUCAGUUGUGAAAGUUUGCGGCUCAACCGUAAAAUUGCACUUGAUACUGGCAGGCUUGAGUACAGUUGAGGUAGGCGGAAUGCAUGGUGUAGCGGUGAAAUGCUUAGAGAUCACGAAGAACCCCGAUUGCGAAGGCAGCUUACUAAGCUGUGACUGACAUUGAUGCACGAAAGUGUGGGUAUCAAACAGGAUUAGAUACCCGAGUAGUC